rnacentral:rRNA from 1 species
UACGUAGGGUGCAAGCGUUAAUCGGAAUUACUGGGCGUAAAGCGUGCGCAGGCGGUUUUGUAAGUUUGUCGUGAAAUCCCCGGGCUCAACCUGGGAAUGGCGAUGAAGACUGCAAGGCUAGAAUCUGGCAGAGGGGGGUAGAAUUCCACGUGUAGCAGUGAAAUGCGUAGAGAUGUGGAGGAACACCGAUGGCGAAGGCAGCCCCUGGGUCAGACUGACGCUACAUGCACGAAGCGUGGGAGCAACAGG